CUAGCUUAAGUGAAGUGAGUUCACUCAAUAACAUCCUCAUAAUACCAUAACCUCAACCAAACUCAACAAUGUGAUAAAGAACUCAACCGUCCCACCACACCUGCACAAACAGUUCACAUUAAAAUCUACCAAUCUACCAUUAAACAAACAUUGGCCAUUUUCUUUUUUCUAUUUUUCCAUAAGCCUCGAGAUCGCGAGAAGCAUGACGAUCAAGUAUAAAACCCGUCCACCUCAUUAAUCAACACUGUAGUAAAAAAUCCAAUUAUCUCACCAUCGAAACACACCAAUCCACUUUAAUGUCUUAAUUUCAAUAAAAGAAAAGAAAAAAGAUCACCAUAAUUUUUUUGCGUUUUUUUCUCAGAUCCAAAAUAGUUUCCACACCCUUGUAGGUUUCUACAAAAAUAGCUACAUUGGAGGAUCCGACACGCACUCACCGUCAAUUUUGAAAAUUGAGCAACAUAGGUGAUAUCACAAGCAAGAAUGACGAUCAAGGAUCAAAACCAAGCACCCACUCCACUCCAACCCAAAAGUUCAAUUUUUUUUAGAUCUCCAUUUCCAAAUAAAAUAUAUACAUAAAAAUCACCAUUUUUUUCCUUUUUCGUCUUCUUUUUCCGAAUAGGGUGUUUGGUUAGUCCAAAUUAAAUGUCAACACAAAGCUUAAAAAACACCAGUGAUGAUAAAAACCGCAAAUGCGGGAUGAGAAAAUUCAAGAAUUACAAAACAGCCACAAAUUCAACGCAUAAAUACACGCAGAUAUAAAAAUUAGUAGAUAAAAAUGAUUUGAAUAAAUGUUUUACCGAGAAUCAUUCCACAAGUGACAAGUGUAAGAAGCCCGAAAACAAUUCUCAUUGCCGAAGCCAUCUUUUUUGCAAGAUUUUCUCGAGAUGGGUAAUUGGAUUUCCGCAGAAAUCUGAACUGAAAUGGAGGAUUUUGUAGUUUGGUUUUUUAACUGAUUUUAUAGGUAAGUGUAAAUUUGAGUGAUUCCGGGAGUAUUAGGAAAGUGAAUAAAGAGAGAUUAUUUGGUUAAUUGCAAUAGAUAUGUUGUACGUUCUGCAUAGAAGAUUGCACUGUCAGUUUUAUUUCCGACUUUGACGAAAUCACAAGUAAAGCUUAUUUGGGUACGUUGAAAGAGUUUGGACUAACCGUGCACCAGGGGACGAAGAC
rnacentral:lncRNA from 1 species